GCAUAACGCGAAGAACCUUACCAGGGCCUUGACAUGCAGAGAAACUUUUCCAGAGAUGGAUUGGUGCCUUCGGGAACUCUGACACAGGUGCUGCAUGGCUGUCGUCAGCCCCGUGUCGUGAGAUGUUGGGUUAAGUCCCGUAACGAGCGCAACCCUUGUCCUUAGUUACCAGCACGUAAUGGUGGGCACUCUAAGGAGACUGCCGGUGACAAACCGGAGGAAGGUGGGGAUGACGUCAAGUCAUCAUGGCCCUUACGGCCUGGGCUACACACGUGCUACAAUGGUCGGUACAGAGGGGUUGCCAAGCCGCGAGGUGGAGCUAAUCCCAUAAAACCGAUCGUAGUCCGGAUCGCAGUCUGCAACUCGACUGCGUGAAGUCGGAAUCGCUAGUAAUCGCGAAUCAGAAUGUCGCGGUGAAUACGUUCCCGGGUCUUGUACACACCG
rnacentral:rRNA from 1 species